UGGGGUAUAUUGGACAAUGGGCGAAAGCCUGAUCCAGCCAUGCUGCGUGUGUGAAGAAGGCCUUUUGGUUGUAAAGCACUUUAAGCGAGGAGGAGGCUACUAGUACUAAUACUACUGUAUAGUGGACGUUACUCGCAGAAUAAGCACCGGCUAACUCUGUGACAGCAGCCGCGGUAAUACAGAGGGCGCGUGCGUUAAUCGGAUUUACUGGGCGUAAAGCGUGCGUAGGCGGCUGGUUAAGUCGGAUGUGAAAUCCCUGAGCUUAACUUAGGAAUUGCAUUCGAUACUGGUCAGCUAGAGUAUGGGAGAGGAUGGUAGGAUUCCAGGUGUAGCGGAGAAAUGCGUAGGGAUCUGGAGGAAUACCGAUGGCGAGGGCAGCCGUCUGGCCUAAUACUGACGCUGAGGUACGAAAGCAUGGGGAGCAAACAGG
rnacentral:rRNA from 1 species